UACAGAGAGUGCAAACGUUGUUCGGAAUUACUGGGCUUGAAGCGCACGUAGGCGGCGUUGUAAGUGUCGGGUGAAAUCCCACGGCUCACCCGUGGAACUGCCCGGCAUACUGCGAUGCUAGAGUGUGGUAGGGGAGAGCGGAACUCCUGGUGGAGCGGUGAAAUGCGUAGAUAUCAGGAGGAACACCGGUGGCGAAGGCGGCUCUCUGGUCCACAACUGACGCUGAGGUGCGAAAGCUUGGGGAGCAAACGGG
rnacentral:rRNA from 1 species